GUCGCGAGGCGGACGGAGGGAUGGAUGAGGUUACCUGGAAAAAUCGGGGCGAUCUAGGCGGGCGAACCUCGCCAACGAACGAUCGGACAUGGGAUAACGGAAGAGGGCGUCGGCUCGACUUCGUCGGUUCCUCGGGCCGAGGCACGUACGGUGAAUAGGGACGGUCGGGGCCGCCCGUACCGGGUCGUGAGAGGUGAAAUUCUAGGAUCGACCCGAGACGAACCGCCGCGAAAGCAUUCGGCAAGGACGCUUUCAUUAAUCAAGAACGAAAAGUCGGGGGAUCGAAGACGAUCAGAUACCGUCGUAGUCCCGACCGUAAACGAUGCCGACCGAGGGCCCGGAGGAGUUACGUACGACCCUCCGGGCCCUCCCGCGAGAAAUCAGGAGUAUUCGGGUUCCGGGGGAGUAUGGUCGCAAGGCCGAAACUUAAAGGAAUUGACGGAAGGG
rnacentral:rRNA from 1 species